rnacentral:lncRNA from 1 species
CAGCAUGAAUAUUCUAAAAGUAUCUUUGUCAUUUUAAAUACUACAGAUUGCUCAAGUAAAUAACAAAAUAAAGAAGGAAAAGUACUAUAACUAUGUGCUCGAAACAGAACCGAGGACAAUUCCAACAUCGUAAAUGGUGUGGAUUGCGUGGUUGGUGAACUGCUGGCGAGCUGACAGGAUGUGGACGACAUCAGAGAAGCUUGUGUCGGAGAAAAACAUGGCACCCACGUUGAUCAGCUGAUGGGACUCCAAGGAUAAAAGAAAAGGCAGUAUGGCUGGCAUCCAAACCUGCGGCUGCUCCAUCAGUUGCCCUUUGUCAUUUAGGUGCACAAGGAAGAUAGAAGAGAAACCACAACCCAAGUAUGCGGUUGACUGUUUUGUGGAUUUCCACACCAGUGUGCCUCACGACUACUGAAGAAACCUGAUGAGACAGCAGGGCCAUGGUUGGUAGGAAGAGAACUACUGGCACUAGCGUCGGGUUAUCUGGGAUGGAUUUAGCAGAUGAAGGAAUUCAGGCAUCGAACUGCAACAAACUUUCCAUACCAGAGAGGACUCUGAAGACAGAGCAUCUAUCAAUGCCUGAUAGCUGAUCUGCAGACUGGAGAGCCAGCAGGCUAGCGAUUGUUGAAGGAAGACACGGAAAUUGAAAUGACUCCCUGAUUUCAGUGGAUAAGGUAAUUUCCUGAGGUGACGGAGGCUGGGUUGUCAC